rnacentral:rRNA from 1 species
UACAGAGGGGGCAAGCGUUGUUCGGAAUUACUGGGCGUAAAGGGCGCGUAGGCGGCCCGCUAAGUCGAACGUGAAAUCCCCGAGCUCAACUCGGGAACUGCGUCCGAUACUGGCGGGCUUGAAUCCGGGAGAGGGAUGCGGAAUUCCAGGUGUAGCGGUGAAAUGCGUAGAUAUCUGGAGGAACACCGGUGGCGAAGGCGGCAUCCUGGACCGGCAUUGACGCUGAGGCGCGAAAGCUAGGGGAGCAAACAGGG